UCCACUUUCAUAUAGCAAAAAAAAAAAAUUUAGCCACUAGGAUAAAAAUAUAAAAUUUUACCCACUUUUUGUGCGAAAAGACUAAAAUACCCCUACUUAAAAAGGAGCAAAUUCUCGCUCUCUCCCUCUAUCUGUAACGCAUCCUUUCUCUUUUCUCUCUCUCUCUUCUGCUUUCGUCGUUCAUCUUCGAUCUCUUGAUAUCAUCGGAUUUUUUUCAAAAUUGAGGAUUCCGAUCAUGUUCGCUGCAUAGGAACUUUCGCGAGGAUAGUGAAAGGCGAUCGAUCGAAGAUUUCUCAAGCUUCCCAUACAUAUGUUCGGUGUUGAAUGUGUCGUUGUGGACUUACUACGGAAUCGUCAAACCAGAUGCAUUGCUUAUCGUUGUCGUCAAUGGAUCCGGCAUCGUUAUUUCCACCGUCUAUCUCUCUCUAUCUCGUAUUUGCUCCUCCGAAGGCUAGGAUUUGGUUUCUUGGACGUAGUUCUGGAAAUAUUGGAUGAUUGUGUUUUUGAGAGCUGUGAUUCAGAUUGGAAAUAUGAGGGAGUAUAGGAUGAAGCCAUUGGCCGAUUAACACAAGGUGAACAACAAGCCGUGAGAGGUGUCCGUAGUAAGCUCGACGCUGAGAGUUGCUCCACAGUAGAGAGUUGCGCUUUCAAGCACACAAGGGAUGCACAACAUCAUCCAUCGCCAUUUCAGAGAUCAUUUACUGUUGCUAGCCCCAUCUGCAGUCAGUCCAAUUAGAGAUGGCAUGGAUAUGAGCUAGUUACUAUAUCUGCUAAUUUCUUGCUCUCUCUGGCCUUCCAUCCCCUUUUUACUUUUUCCUAGGACUAGCUAUGUGUAAAAGAACUUGUUCAUUACUUUGGUGGCGAACAUGAUCACCACCUACAAUCCCAGGUGGUGCCACACUCCUUCGGCUUCUUCUUCUCAUCCUCUUUCACGGUUCAACAUCGACUGCAAUUUCUCUUCAUUUCGAGCCAUUGCGGAUGAAUUGGGGACGAAUUAGGAUUUUGAGCAGGGAUGUACAUUCUUCGUGCGGUUGUGGCGAUUCCCCAGGGUGGAGGCGGUGUUGCUGAGGAUGGUGUUUGGCGUCUGGAAGAGGCCCCCGGGAAGUGGUCUGGGCGGCGAGCAGAAAGGCGCAGUGCAGCGGUGCCGCUCAGAGGCGGCGCGUUUUCCCAGGCAAAAAAACCCCUAGUUCCAUAACUGAGUAAUUUUGGGGAUUUUUGUCUUAAUUCCUUGAAAAAAGUUUAGAUCUGAGACGUCUGUGAAUGAUUUUCGUUCUAAGAUCUGUUGAGAUUGUUGAUUCGGAGAUUGAAUGCUGAGAUUGUUGAUUCGAAUGAAUUGUUGUAUUUUGAUUGUAGAUUGAAUUGUUUAAUAUUUUGAUUGUUGAUUUAGAGGAAAUGAUGUAUUUUGAUGGUA